rnacentral:lncRNA from 1 species
AUUGCGAGCAGCCGCUGUGGCUUCCGGUGCCCUAAUCCAGAAAUCCUCUCCGAUAAACUCUGUUAAAGAUAAUUUUUUCGAUUUUUUCACCUAGACUGAUAAAAGUCUGAUGAACUAUAAAGAUCCAUAUAUUUUAUUUUACUAUUUUCUUUAAUUUUAAUUUGAUGUUGACGAACAUAGAUUAAAGUUUUGCCGGUGAUGACAGAGUAUUGGCAAGAGCUGCAACAGCAUAUUUGCGCUUCCACGGUAUGUAUCGUGGGCUGUUGUUGCCAUGAUGAAUGUGCCAAUAUGCUAAUCUGAGGCUUUCCUUUUUUAGUUUACAUAUAUAUAUUUUUUUAUUCCAGUAUUUGAUGCACUUAAAUUUAUAUUUUGCGUUGGUAAUUUAUUAAUGUUUUUGUUAGGAUAUGAAGCCUGAUCAUGCUUCUCGUGCCUUGCCUCUUUGAAUUUCUUUUUAAUAUUUCUUUUUUAGUUAUGAAAUUUUAUUUUGAUAAAUGUUUGUUUGUUUGUUUAUCGUGCUUACAUUAAUUGUGUUUUUGGGAAUUGUAAAUUAUUGUGUUUG